UGUUAAUGACCGCUGUUCAAGCUAAUAUGAAACACAAGGGCGGGACCAUUUUAAUCAUUCAUUUAUAUUAUUACAGGUGCCCCCUUUGGUGACUUUUUGUACUAGUGCCUUUGAUCUCCACUGUAGGAAAUGCUCUGCUCCAUUUCAAAAGAGAUUGCCUUAUGCCCCAUUUGUUGGCUGUUGGAUCAAACCAGCAACAGACCUCACAGAUAGAAUUCCACCAUUGGCCAUUCACAAAGAGAUUUCCCCCAGUAAAGAGAGUCAAGAUGAUGAUCCCUAUUUGCUGAAAAACCUUCCCAAAGGCCUGAGAUGAUAAGAAUCGCCUGUUCCAGAAGAGGGUGCGCCCUUGACUUAAAAGGUUCUGACUCCAGACAUUCUUGCUGAUGGAGAUGAGCUCCACCUGAAUCAGCUACUGCUUGGGGCCAACCAUGAAAGAGUCAAAAGGAAAGUCUCCUCCUUCUGCAUCAUGAGCCCCCCUCCAAAACUACCUCAUCUUCAAGAACUUUCCUAACGUUUGUUUUCAAGUCCAACCUGGAGGCAGAACAAGUAAGGCAAGUAAAUAUCAAGAGCAUGAGGGAGCUUGUCUACCCCCAUUGCCUGUCCACAGGAGAGCCGUGUCUGUCCACAUUGAUAGCAGUGUCGCAAAUGCCAAGUUCAGAUGGAUCCAGUUUUGGGGGGAGGAUGCAGGGAGGUCUUUUUCACCAGAACCAGCUUCCCUUUCUUGGUUUCCCCCCUUUCGCUGACUGUGCCUCUGGGCAUGCCAAAGUGUCCUUCCGUGCAGGGACACUUAGCUUACUUGUGCGUGGGGGUAAAGCAGCCUUUGAUAAAUAUAAAACCCCAUCAUUAUCUCAUUUUGGUAUAUUCUGAGAUUUUCCUAAACAGAUGUCAUGGAAAAUUCAUUGAGAAAGAACAUAACUUGUUACAAAAGUAACCCACAGAUUUUUAUCUUCCUCUUUUGCCUUAAAAGUUCAAAGCUGGGGGAAAACGACUUAAUUGAGAUAGGCCUUAGAAAAGAAAAAGAACUGAAGGGUAAUUCAUGUGGCAUUGACUGUGUAGUAUUACGUGAAUUGUGUUGGAUGGAAAUUUAAAUGCCCUAAAUGCCUAGUGAUCAGGCUUGGCGCUUAAAAAUGUUCCAUUUUCUUAAAACCUUCAACCAUUCUCAUUUUGAACAUUGCUGUUCUUUAUAUAUUAAGAAAAUGCCAUAAUGAAUGGAAAGGUAACUUUGAGCUUAUUUUUCCAAAUAAUGGAUUCGUCUUCCCAAGGAGAGCUGACAGGCCUUCCUAAUACCCCUGAUAACAAAAGGAUGCCGAGAAGGCUGGGCUCAGGGCUAUGCCAAAGGGCAGGGCAGACAGAUGGUCCUUGACCAUUCAAGAAUCAAAUCCUUGAUUUUGAUCAUCCGUUGAGUGCUAUUUGAACUUGUCACUAAAACGAGCAAGUACUUCUAAAAGUCUGUGUCCUGGGAUACAGUUUAGCAUAAAACUGCAACCAUAAUCAGGGAGUUAGAACUAGUCAUUUGAGGCAUGUCUUUGAGCUACGCUUUCAGAAUCCACGCCUGGAUGAUCUUGCAAAGGUAUGUCAGAAUCGUCGACAUUAUUUUUUUUUUGCAAUUCCCGAAAGAAGUAACCUCACCACUU